rnacentral:rRNA from 1 species
UACGUAGGGGGCUAGCGUUGUCCGGAUUUAUUGGGCGUAAAGAGCGUGUAGGCGGCCAGGUAGGUCUGCUGUGAAAACUCGAGGCUCAACCUCGAGACGUCGGCGGAAACCAUCUGGCUAGAGUCCGGAAGAGGAAAGUGGAAUUCCUGGUGUAGCGGUGAAAUGCGCAGAUAUCAGGAAGAACACCCGUGGCGAAGGCGGC